rnacentral:rRNA from 1 species
UACGUAGGUGGCAAGCGUUGUCCGGAUUUACUGGGCGUAAAGGGCGUGCAGGCGGUUUGUUAAGUUCAGGGUGAAAUCUCUCGGCUUAACCGGGAGCGGUCGUUGGAAACUGAUGGACUUGAGGCGAUGAGAGGGGUGUGGAAUUCCCGGUGUAGUGGUGGAAUGCGUAGAUAUCGGGAGGAACAUCAGUGGCGAAAGCGGCACCCUGGCAUUAGCCUGACGCUCAUGUGCGAAAGCGUGGGGAGCGAACGGG